AGACUUUUUAUUUGAUGCUUGCAUCUUUUAAAAAGUUGAGUGGCGAACGGGUGAGUAACACGUGGGUAACCUGCCUUAAAGUGGGGGAUAACACUUGGAAACAGGUGCUAAUACCGCAUAACCAUCAAAACCGCCUGGUUUUGAUGUUAAAGAUGGUUCUGCUAUCGCUUUAAGAUGGACCCGCGGCGUAUUAGCUAGUUGGUGAGGUAACGGCUUACCAAGGCAAUGAUACGUAGCCGAACUGAGAGGUUGAUCGGCCACAUUGGGACUGAGACACGGCCCAAACUCCUACGGGAGGCAGCAGUAGGGAAUCUUCCACAAUGGACGAAAGUCUGACGGAGCAACGCCGCGUGAGUGAAGAAGGUUUUCGGAUCGUAAAACUCUGUUGUCAGAGAAGAACGUGUGUGAGAGUAACUGUUCACGCAGUGACGGUAUCUGACCAGAAAGUCACGGCUAACUACGUGCCAGCAGCCGCGGUAAUACGUAGGUGGCAAGCGUUGUCCGGAUUUAUUGGGCGUAAAGGGAACGCAGGCGGUCUUUAAGUCUGAUGUGAAAGCCUUCGGCUUAACCGAAGUCGGGCAUUGGAAACUGGGAGACUUGAGUGCAGAAGAGGAGAGUGGAACUCCAUGUGUAGCGGUGAAAUGCGUAGAUAUAUGGAAGAACACCAGUGGCGAAAGCGGCUCUCUGGUCUGUAACUGACGCUGAGGUUCGAAAGCGUGGGUAGCAAACAGGAUUAGAUACCCUGGUAGUCCACGCCGUAAACGAUGAAUGCUAAGUGUUGGAGGGUUUC
rnacentral:rRNA from 1 species